rnacentral:rRNA from 1 species
AGAUUGAACGCUGGCGGCAUGCCUAACACAUGCAAGUCGAACGGGAGUAGCAAUACUCUAGUGGCGGACGGGUGAGGAAUACGUAGGAAUUUGCCCUUAAGUGGGGGAUAACCCGGGGAAACCCGGAUUAAUACCGCAUGACCUCGAAAGAGCAAAGUGGGGGAUCGCAAGACCUCACGCUUUUGGAGAAGCCUACGUCGGAUUAGCUAGUUGGUGAGGUAAUGGCUCACCAAGGCGAGGAUCCGUAACUGGUCUGAGAGGAUGAUCAGUCACACCGGAACUGAGACACGGUCCGGACUCCGUACGGGAGGCAGCAGGUGGGGAAUAGUUGGAACUAAGU